UCUAUUUCCUGUGCUAAUUUUGAUGAACAGCUUGGGCAAGUAUUAAGGCCAAGGUUAAAAGUUCAAGCUUGCCGCUAAGGUCAAAGGUCGGGUCAGUAUGAUGCCUUAUCGACAUAAGGAUUUUACGUGCGCGAGAGACAGACAGACAACAGGUUGUUUUUGUCGCAGUCAUGCGAAGCCUCUUAUGUACAGCAGCUACACGUGCGACUACGGCCAAUGCUUCCAGUCACCACAGACCUGGAAAGCGUAUUACAGAGAACAGAAGCGACGUCAGGGCGAGGAGUACAGGCGAAGGCUGAUCUGGAAGCUGUCGCGCUUUCCGGAGUUUACCGACUGCUGCAACGCAUGCGUGGAGGCGGAGAGUUAUCCCGAACCGGCGGUGAAGCGCUGCGCGGAGAAAAAGAAGUGCCCGUCGGAAUUUUCUCAGGUGCCGUGGCAAAUUCAGCGCGCGCAUGCUAACCAGUUUUAUCAGUAUUAGCGGGUUGUCGUGGGGGUUGGUGAUGGUUGUCAAUAAGUUUUAUCAGUAUUAGCGGGUUGUCGUGGGGGUUGGUAUUAGUUGUCAACCAGUUGUAUCAGGACUAUAUUAUUAUCGUUUUGUUUGAUAAGGAAAAUGGCAAUUGUUAUAACUGUAUUAGUAUCGCAGGAUUAUUGAUGGCUUUUGUCACAGUGGUUGUCGUAAUGUUAUUGUGGUUGUUUUUCGAGAGGUUGAUGUGUGGUUGUAGUGGAUGGUUGUUGUAGGCAUAUAACCGUUGGUUGCUGCAUAGUGGUUGUCGAGGUUGCUAUCUAGUGGUAGCCGUGUAGUUGUCGUGGUUGCUACAUAGUGGUAGCUUUGUGGUUGUCGUGCCGCUCUCGUAUUUGGCUGACGUACUUUGUAAGAAGCCUCAAGAUUUUCCACCAAAAUAAUAUUUUUAAAUGAAGAUCGGCAUGAUAAAAAAACAACUAUUGUCAUCACUGCCUACAGUAUUUCACCUGCAAGUUUCGCUAUAUACACGAUACAUCAUGAUACUAAGGUGUGUUUACUCGAUCCUUAACAUGAACGUUAACCCAGAUCUUGACAAUAAUCAAACGUGAUUCAACAACACCAAAGAUGGGAACACACUGUUAAAAACUGUCACACGAACUAC